GCCACAGUGGCAGGAUUGAUCAACUUUUUAAAUUUGCGAAUCCACUCAGGACAAUAAGUUUUUCGAAAUCGCUAAAUGAGGGACUUAAAACGUUACCGUGAGUACGUUCAAGGUGAAUUUUUUGUAAUAAAAAAAUAAGCCAAGUGCGCAUCAAGCACUAUUCUUUCAACUGAUUACCACAUGUAAAUACAGUCGGAUAGACAAAAUGCACACAAAAAAAUGACAAAAACUCAUGCAUCCCCACGUGCAAAGGUAAAAUCAGUAUAGGAAAUUGCAAAGCUCAUUCACAAUUUAACAGAGCACAAGUGAACACAAGCCAUAUUUACAAUGCAAUGGAUCAAGUUACUUCAACAACGUUGCACUCCUUUCGUGUUUCUGACAGGGUUGGAGUAGUAAAUCCUAAACUGAGAAGAAUGAGGAGGGUUAAUUUUUGUGUAUAUCUCACACUCCUGGGGUAGACAUUUUGUGCACGAGGAGCUGGAGCGAGGUCUUCAGUCUAGCAGGCGUAAAUCAACACUAAUGGGUGAUUGGGGCGGAGCGGAGGAGUAAGGGACCAGCCAUGGACUGUUUUUUACUUUGUUCUUUAAACUACGCCUCAGCUAGCAGAGUAUCCGCAACCAUCUUUUUAAUCGCGUAUUCCAUCUUCUGGAUACGUAUUCACUCGAAAUUAAACGUAUUCGAGACAGGAAACUAUUGGAUGUUAAUUGUCUUUCUGACAAGCUGCAUUGUUGUUAUUGUGGUGUCCAUCGUUAUUCUAACACUUCACAUAAAAGGAUUUCCCGUCCAUUGGCAUCAAUCGUUUGGGGUAAUAAAAAAUCUGACAAGAAUUGGUUUAUAUAAAUAUAUUAAAAGUAUUCAUUUCGAGUUCGCAUCGUUAGCAACGUUCGCAAAAAAAUAACGUUCGUAAAAUGGCUUGAAAAUCAAUUUGCCAAAUUGCGCAUCUCCAGGGUUAUUAUUUAGUUCGCAAAAUAUUUUUCACAAAUUUUUCAAUUGGAAAAGUCCAUAAAUCUCCAUGAGUUACCAAAGUUUUGCGAUUCGAAUUUUUUAAAUUUCUCAUUUGGUGAUUUUCAGAUGCAAAACUUCAGUAAGUAUUGCAAAUUAUUUAACUUGUAUUUCUCCCAUAGCAAGAUUCGAGACAUUUGAACUAAAUUUUCCGAACUUUGUUAUUUGUGAAGUGUCUUCACUUCGUUGCUUUCUAAAAAUUCGCAAUUUCGAGAAAGUUAUGUUGCGAUGCAAACUCAAAAUGAUGUUGCGUCUUCCUAUUUUUGGUUGGCCUAGGAGCACUGGAAUCUUAUAAGGAUACCGGGGGAUGUUGGGGUCACCGUAACUACCACUGCAGAAAAACUGCACCUGAGAUACCCACACAAUUCGGUGUAUAUAUCUCUUCAGUUUGCGGUAACCAUGGCAACGCUACUGGUUCGCGGUUACAGGAACCAUCUCCUGUGGUUUUUGAUAAGAGAUGGCGAUAUAUAAUUGACAAACAAUCACAUUGCCGCUGGAGGUAAUACGCAAUUCUACCAAUUCUAACAACAUCCUAGGAUUUCUGAAAAGUGUAGGGCAGCAAGGAGGCUACAGACUGGAAUUUACUUGAUGUACAUUUGGGCCAUGGAAUUAUUUGCGGCAUUAUCAGUAGAAUUUGUGUACGGAUUGGGGAACCGCAAUAAUAAGAAUGAACCAGAAUAUUCGUAUACAGAGUAAACGAUUUCAAUAAAAAAAACUGUACACAUGGCUUAAUUAGUUAAAAAACCUAAAAAGUUUAAUUAUACGGAUAAAUAAUAAAGAGACUAAAAAUA